AUUUCACGAAUGCAUAAAGUAUGUUUUUGCUCCUCAGUAGCAUCGAACAAAUAGUGGUAAAGUCGUUGAGAAGUUAAAUAAAACUUGAAGGGAAACUAAUUUUAUCAUUUUCCGAAUUCUCUAAACAUGUUAAUACAUAUUUACACAUUUACAGCAUCAAAUUCACCUUCAUUAUUCAGAAGCACUUGCUGAAUUACUCCCAAUCGACAUCAAAGAAGCCAGCAUCUUUCAUUUCUGAGUAGUAUACAUUCUCCAGAUGCAAGUCGUCCUCCUGCACACACGAUUUAGAACAGAGCCGGUAAAGGAUACGUAUGGGAGGGGCAUAAGUGAGAAUGAAUGAUGAGAAAAUGAUACCUGCAAAAAGUCCGCUAGGAAAGUAAUAUACAGAAGAGGAAGGUACAUGGCAUGGUAACAGAUGACCGUGAUAUUGUACAACCUGUAAUGCAAAAUGAGGAUCUCUUAGUAAACUAAAAGUAGCUGAAGCAUGCAUCGAUUUAUAUUAAUUGGAUACAACUGUUUGGAUGUGAUAGCAAUGCAUUUCUCUAUUGUUUUUGUGUGAA